rnacentral:rRNA from 1 species
UACGGGGGGAGCAAGCGUUGUUCGGACUUACUGGGCGUAAAGGGCGCGUAGGCGGCCUCUGCAAGUCGACUGUGAAAUCUCCGGGCUUAACCCGGAAAGGUCAGCCGAUACUGCAGGGCUAGAGUGCAGAAGGGGCAACUGGAAUUCUCGGUGUAGCGGUGAAAUGCGUAGAUAUCGAGAGGAACACCUGCGGCGAAGGCGGGUUGCUGGGCUGACACUGACGCUGAGGCGCGAAAGCUAGGGGAGCGAACGGG